rnacentral:lncRNA from 1 species
AACCUCCUGGGCUCAAGCCAUCCUCCUGCCUCAGCCUCCUGAGGAGCUGGGGCCGCAGGUGUGUACCACUGUGUUACAUGCCAGGUCUAGCUCAAAGCCCUUCACCUGGAUUAACUCAUCUUUCCCCCAAAAGCCCUACAAGGUAGACACUAUUGUUGGCCCCAUUUUACAGGCUGAGAAACGGAAGCACAGAGAGCUGGAGUGACUUGCCCCAGGCCACACAGCUAAGGGGAAGCUUUGUAAAUAACAGAGGACCUUACUGGAGUAUUUUUUUUUCUUAGCCUACCCCAGAAAACAGGAAGGAAUCCUCACCCUACUUGUCCCAGCCCUGACCAGCCCACCUCACCCCGCCUCCCCCGGCCCAGGAAACUUCAGACUUCACCGCAGCUUCCUGCCUCAGAGGAUGUCAGGGCCCCGGUGAGGCCGACAGAGCAGGAACUAGGAAAGCACAGAAGUAAUUGUAGCCACGCAAUUCCAGAACCACCAACUGCAAGCCGUGGAAUCCUGGGAGCUGCAGACACAGAACUCGCAUCCACAGGACCCCAGAGCCUCAGGCUGCAGAGCGCAGGCCACAGAGCCCUGGAGCCACAGGCUGAUCUGCAGCCGGGAGCAUCCCAGAACCACAGGACCCAGACACACAGCCCAGGCAAUCCGAGCACCAAGGGACUCAAAUCUGCAGCUCACAGAGUCUGCAGAGACCACAGCAGGUAGCGCAGCAAUCCUGGAACCAUGGGAGGCCCAAGAGCAGCCCACUGCUUUCUAGAACCACAGGAGAGGAACGAGCUGUGGGCUCUCAGCACAGAGCUGGGAGGGUGGCCCCAGAGUUCACCUCCUCCUCCAAACACCUUCCACUUACGUAUAGGGCUUGGCCUCUAGGGCCCCGCAGCCAGCGCCCCUGAGCGGCCUCCAGGAGUGAAGAGCCGGCCAAGGCCCUGCCAAGGCUGCAGGGCGGGGACACCCAGUGGGGGACGCCCGGGAGGGGAAACCCUUCGGGCGGGCGGACCCUCGGGCCCCCCGGCGCGCAGGC